rnacentral:rRNA from 1 species
AGUGUACGCUGGCGGUAGGCCUAACACAUGCAAGUCGAACGGCAGCACAGUAAGAGCUUGCUCUUACGGGUGGCGAGUGGCGGACGGGUGAGGAAUACAUCGGAAUCUACUUUUUCGUGGGGGAUAACGUAGGGAAACUUACGCUAAUACCGCAUACGACCUACGGGUGAAAGCAGGGGGUCUUCGGACCUUGCGCGAUUGACUGAGCCGAUGUCGGAUUAGCUAGUUGGCGGGGUAAAGGCCCACCAAGGCGACGAUCCGUAGCUGGUCUGAGAGGAUGAUCAGCCACACUAGGACUGAGACACGGUCCAGACUCCUACGAGAGGCAGCAGUCGGGAAUAUUAGACAAUGGGCGCAAGCCUGAUCCAGCCAUACCGCGUGGGUGGAGAAGGCCUUCGGGUUGUAAAGCCCUUUUGUUGGGAAAGAAAAGCAGCAGGUUAAUACCCCGCUGUUCUGACGGUACCCAAAGAAUAAGCACCGGCUAACUUCGUG